rnacentral:rRNA from 1 species
AGUGAACGCUGGCGGUAGACCUAACACAUGCAAGUCGAACGGCAGCACAGUAAGAGCUUGCUCUUACGGGUGGCGAGUGGCGGACGGGUGAGGAAUACAUCGGAAUCUACUUUUUCGUGGGGGAUAACGUAGGGAAACUUACGCUAAUACCGCAUACGACCUACGGGUGAAAGCAGGGGAUCUUCGGACCUUGCGCGAUUGAAUGAGCCGAUGUCGGAUUAGCUAGUUGGCGGGGUAAAGGCCCACCAAGGCGACGAUCCGUAGCUGGUCUGAGAGGAUGAUCAGCCACACUGGAACUGAGACACGGUCCAGACUCCUACGGGAGGCAGCAGUGGGGAAUAUUGGACAAUGGGCGCAAGCCUGAUCCAGCCAUACCGCGUGGGUGAAGAAGGCCUUCGGGUUGUAAAGCCCUUUUGUUGGGAAAGAAAAGCAGCAGGUUAAUACCCCGCUGUUCUGACGGUACCCAAAGAAUAAGCACCGGCUAACUUCGUGC